rnacentral:rRNA from 1 species
CAUAGCGACUAUCGUCGCAUAUCAAUAAGCGGAGGAAAAGAAACUAACAUAGGAUUCCCUUAGUAACGGCGAGUGAAGCGGGAAGAGCUCAAAUUUGAAAUCUUCAAGGUUCUACCUUGACGAAUUGUAGUUUAAAGAAGUGUUUUCUGUUGGAGUUUUGGUAAAAGUUCUUUGGAAUAGGACAUCAUAGAGGGUGAGAAUCCCGUAUUUGACCAUUAUCUUCCAGCUGUGUGAUACACUUUCAAAGAGUCGGAUUGUUUGGGAAUGCAGUCCAAAAUGGGUGGUAAAUUUCAUCUAAAGCUAAAUAUUGGCGAGAGACCGAUAGCGAACAAGUACCGUGAGGGAAAGAUGAAAAGAACUUUGAAAAGAGAGUUAAACAGUACGUGAAAUAGUCAAAAGGGAAGCGUUUGACACCAGUGUUGUUUUCUCGAAAAUCAAUUAAAAAUGACCGGAUUUUGUGUUGUAUUGACUUUAUCAGCUUUCUGCACUUUUUUCUUAUCCUUUUUUAAUGCACUUUUCGUUCAACAAGUCAACAUCAAUUUCUUUUGUUGUAAAAGAGUCAUUGGAGGGUGGCUUUUUCUUCGGAAAAAGUGUUUAUAGCCUUUGGCUUCUGCAAUCGGAGAGAUUGAGGUCUGCAGCGUAGAUCCUUCGGGGUUAGAUACAUUUGUGCUAAGUUAUAGCUCUUCAUAGACAACUUGUUGACUAUGAUUAGUCAUUGUAGCUUACUCGCUUAGUGCUAUUUUACCUACGCUUAGGAUGUUGAUAUGCAUGACUGAUAU